AUACGGAGGGUGCAAGCGUUGUUCGGAUUCACUGGGUAUAAAGGGUGCGUAGGCGGCCUCAUAAGUCAGAGGUGAAAGCUGCCAGCUUAACUGGCAAAUUGCCUUUGAGACUGUGAGGCUUGAGUCCGGGAGAGGAAGGCGGAAUUCCAGGUGUAGCGGUGAAAUGCGUAAAUAUCUGGAGGAACACCGGUGGCGAAGGCGGCCUUCUGGUCCGGUACUGACGCUGAGGCACGAAAGCCAGGGGAGC
rnacentral:rRNA from 1 species